rnacentral:rRNA from 1 species
CCCCUAGAUGUUCUGGGCCGCACGCGCGCUACACUGAACAGUUCAACAAGUCUUAACCUUGGCCGAUAGGUCUGGGUAAUCUUUGAACGCUGUUCGUGAUUGGGAUAGACCUUUGCAAUUAUGGGUCUUCAACGAGGAAUUCCUAGUAAACGCAAGUCAUCAGCUUGCAUUGAUUACGUCCCUGCCCUUUGUACACACCGCCCGUCGCACCUACCGAUUGAAUGGUCCGGUGAAAUCUCGGGACGGCGGCUUGGUCGCUUGCGUCCGACUGCUGAAACUUGAUUAAACCAUAUCAUUUAGAGGAAGGUGAUGUCGUANCA